rnacentral:rRNA from 1 species
AUGGAUCUUUCCUGUCGUCGCAUCCUGCGCCAACCUGGAAGACUUGGGCGCCACUAUGCUCCAAGAUCUUCAUCUGGUUGGGCUGCAUGGACUGCCGCGCGGCGCACUCAACAUGGUCUCCCUCUCAGCCCAACUUGUGUCUUCUGUGACCAAGCCUUAGAGGCUAUUGAUCACCUUCCUGUUGGGUGCCCAUUCUCAUGUGUUAUCUGGCACGACAUCCUUACCGCGUGCAGACUCACGGUGGCCAUUCUGACGGCGACGGAUGGGUUCAUCGACUGGUGGAGCUCCGCCACGACCACCUCCCCACCAUCACUUUGCAAAGGCUUUGCCUCCCUUGGUAUUCCCGUUGCUUGGAGUAUUUGGAAGCAUCGCAACUCCAUCAUCUUUGAGGCUGCUCGACCCUCCACGGAUAUUGUCACCCAAACCAUCCGCGAUGAGGCUCGCAUGUGGGCUCUAGCCGGAGCUAGAGGAUUGGUGAUGAUUUCCCUAUUUAAACCACCAUAG